AAUGAACGUUGGCGGCGUGGAUUAGGCAUGCAAGUCGAGCGCUCAUAGCAAUAUGGGAGCGGCGAACGGCGUAGUAAGACGUAGGAACGUGCCCUCGGGUCGGGGAUAGCUACGGGAAACUGUAGGUAAUACCCGAUAAUCUCUGCGGAGCAAAGGUGUGAUUCCGCCUGAGGAGCGGCUUACGCGAUAUUAGCUAGUUGGUGGGGUAAUGGCCUACCAAGGCGAUGAUGUCUAGGGGGUGUGAGAGCAUGGCCCCCACGACCGGAACUGAGAUACUGUCCGGACACCUACGGGUGGCUGCAGUCGAGAAUCUUCCGCAAUGGACGAAAGUCUGACGGAGCGACGCCGCGUGCGGGAGUGAAGGCCCUUGGGUUGUAAACCGCUGUCAGAGGGGAGUGAAAUCUUCGGAGGUACUCCUCCGAAGUUGACAGAGCCUCAAAGGAAGCACGGGCUAAGUACGUG
rnacentral:rRNA from 1 species